rnacentral:rRNA from 1 species
GAUGAACGCUAGCGGCAGGCUUAAUACAUGCAAGUCGAGGGGCAGCAUGAAUGUAGCAAUACAUUUGAUGGCGACCGGCAAACGGGUGCGGAACACGUACACAACCUUCCUAUAAGUGGGGAAUAGCCCAGAGAAAUUUGGAUUAAUACCCCGUAACAUAAUGAUGUGGCAUCACAUUAUUAUUAUAGCUUCGGCGCUUAUUGAUGGGUGUGCGGCUGAUUAGAUAGUUGGCGGGGUAACGGCCCACCAAGUCUACGAUCAGUAGCUGAUGUGAGAGCAUGAUCAGCCACACAGGCACUGAGACACGGGCCCGACUCCUACGGGAGGCAGCAGUAAGGAAUAUUGGUCAAUGGACGCAAGUCUGAACCAGCCAUGCCGCGUGAAGGAUUAAGGUCCUCUGGAUUGUAAACUUCUUUUAUCUGGGACGAAAAUAGGCUAUUCUUAGUCACUUGACGGUACCAGAUGAAUAAGCACCGGCUAACUCCGUGCCAGCCGCCGCCGUAAGAC